UGCAGUCGAACGCUUCUUUUUCCACCGGAGCUUGCUCCACCGGAAAAAGAGGAGUGGCGAACGGGUGAGUAACACGUGGGUAACCUGCCCAUCAGAAGGGGAUAACACUUGGAAACAGGUGCUAAUACCGUAUAACAAUCGAAACCGCAUGGUUUUGAUUUGAAAGGCGCUUUCGGGUGUCGCUGAUGGAUGGACCCGCGGUGCAUUAGCUAGUUGGUGAGGUAACGGCUCACCAAGGCCACGAUGCAUAGCCGACCUGAGAGGGUGAUCGGCCACAUUGGGACUGAGACACGGCCCAAACUCCUACGGGAGGCAGCAGUAGGGAAUCUUCGGCAAUGGACGAAAGUCUGACCGAGCAACGCCGCGUGAGUGAAGAAGGUUUUCGGAUCGUAAAACUCUGUUGUUAGAGAAGAACAAGGAUGAGAGUAACUGUUCAUCCCUUGACGGUAUCUAACCAGAAAGCCACGGCUAACUACGUGCCAGCAGCCGCGGUAAUACGUAGGUGGCAAGCGUUGUCCGGAUUUAUUGGGCGUAAAGCGAGCGCAGGCGGUUUCUUAAGUCUGAUGUGAAAGCCCCCGGCUCAACCGGGGAGGGUCAUUGGAAACUGGGAGACUUGAGUGCAGAAGAGGAGAGUGGAAUUCCAUGUGUAGCGGUGAAAUGCGUAGAUAUAUGGAGGAACACCAGUGGCGAAGGCGGCUCUCUGGUCUGUAACUGACGCUGAGGCUCGAAAGCGUGGGGAGCAAACAGGAUUAGAUACCCUGGUAGUCCACGCCGUAAACGAUGAGUGCUAAGUGUUGGAGGGUUUCCGCCCUUCAGUGCUGCAGCUAACGCAUUAAGCACUCCGCCUGGGGAGUACGACCGCAAGGU
rnacentral:rRNA from 1 species